GAAACUCAACUGUCUAGUGAGUGGGAAGCCUGACCUGGGACUUGACAUGGGGCUUGAUCACACAACCCUGAGCUCAUGACCUGAGCCAAAACCAAGAGUUGGGCACUUAACCACCUGAGGCAACCACGUGCCCCUCAAAGAAUGAAGAUCAGAAGGAAUAGUGGGAUACAUAUGGAAGAAGAACAAAGGCAAUGAGAAGCCACUCCAUGACUUGAAGAAGACAUAUGACAUUAACUGAGUUAGAGUGUGGUCUAAAACAUUGGAGACAAUACAAGGCAGCAUACCUUUGUGAGAGGUAGGAGGAAAACCCCCUGUCAUGAAUCCUUCUAAUUAUAUCUCUUCCCCUACCUCAUCUUUACAGAUUGUUUAUAGUGAAUCUCUUGUCACUGAUACUGAUAGAACUGUAUCAUAUCCUUAUGUUAAAAAAUGAUUGGCUCAGAAACAUCUUUAGAAUA